rnacentral:lncRNA from 1 species
CUAGUGAAUCAAUUCAUCAACCACAUUUCGAAAAAAGAAGUUGAACAUGGUACAAAGAAAUGGAGUUCCCAGAAUCUACAGAAUCUGCUGCUAAGUCUGCGCAAAUUCGCUGCCUAAAUAGUGCAAAACUGGGGAACUUUUGAGUUGGCUAUCGGUCUAAACAAAUGCCCCAAAACACAAUGAAUCCAGCAUACGUAGGAAAACCUCCAAUAAACCGAUUACCUUCGAGAUGUUUUAAUGAAACAUCUUGACAACAGAAGACACAGGUACCAAACAUCUUCACAGAAAAAACAUUUUAGCACUUUGACUUUCAAGAAUUACAAUCAGCCAA